rnacentral:rRNA from 1 species
AUGCGCAAUUUUGCGAGGCGUUUCCACCGAAACAAAACACUGGCGUUACAUUUCAAGCUUGACAUCAAGAAAGCCUUUGACUCUGUUCGCUGGGACUAUCUCUUCGACCUUCUCAAACACCUUGGAGUUCCUCGGCGCUUUCGUGGUUGGGUCUCGACUCUCUUGGCUUCGGCAUCUUCGCGAGUCUUGCUCAACGUUAUUCUGGGCAACCCUAUCAAGCUUGGGAAGGGCUUGAGGCAAGGAGAUCCUCUAUCCCCCCUCCUUUUCGUUCUGGCGAUCGAUCCUCUACACCAUAUUCUC